GGAUCCAGACUUUGAUCCUGGCUCAGGACGAACGCUGGCGGCGCACCUAACACAUGCAUGUCGAACGAGCGAGAGAUAGCUUGCUUUCUCGAGCGAGUGGCGAACGGGUGAGUAACGCGUGAGGAACCUGCCUCAAAGAGGGGGACAACAGUUGGAAACGACUGCUAAUACCGCAUAAGCCCACGACCCGGCAUCGGGUAGAGGGAAAAGGAGCAAUCCGCUUUGAGAUGGCCUCGCGUCCGAUUAGCUAGUUGGUGAGGUAAUGGCCCACCAAGGCGACGAUCGGUAGCCGGACUGAGAGGUUGAACGGCCACAUUGGGACUGAGACACGGCCCAGACUCCUACGGGAGGCAGCAGUGGGGAAUAUUGCACAAUGGGGGAAACCCUGAUGCAGCGACGCCGCGUGGAGGAAGAAGGUCUUCAGAUUGUAAACUCCUGUUGUUGAGGAAGAUAAUGACGGUACUCAACAAGGAAGUGACGGCUAACUACGUGCCAGCAGCCGCGGUAAAACGUAGGUCACAAGCGUUGUCCGGAAUUACUGGGUGUAAAGGGAGCGCAGGCGGGAAGACAAGUUGGAAGUGAAAUCCAUGGGCUCAACCCAUGAACUGCUUUCAAAACUGUUUUUCUUGAGUAGUGCAG
rnacentral:rRNA from 1 species